rnacentral:rRNA from 1 species
AUUGAACGCUGGCGGCAUGCUUUACACAUGCAAGUCGAACGGCAGCGCGGGCUUCGGCCUGGCGGCGAGUGGCGAACGGGUGAGUAAUAUAUCGGAACGUACCCAAGAGUGGGGGAUAACGUAGCGAAAGUUACGCUAAUACCGCAUACGAUCUAAGGAUGAAAGCAGGGGAUCGCAAGACCUUGUGCUCCUGGAGCGGCCGAUAUCUGAUUAGCUAGUUGGUGAGGUAAAGGCUCACCAAGGCAACGAUCAGUAGCUGGUCUGAGAGGACGACCAGCCACACUGGAACUGCGACAAGGUCCAGACUCCGACGGGAGGCAGCAGUGGGGAAUUUUGGACAAUGGGGGCAACCCUGAUCCAGCAAUGCCGCGUGAGUGAAGAAGGCCUUCGGGUUGUAAAGCUCUUUUGUCAGGGAAGAAAAGGUCGUGGCUAAUAUCCACGACUGCUGACGGUACCUGAAGAAUGAGCACCGGCUAACUACGUGCCAGCAGCCGCUGUAAAAC